AUGAUGUUUCGCAUUGCCAUCUCAUCGAGGCACUGGGGAGGGCAGGCCGAGGAGGCACUCAGGGUGUUUGAGAAAAUGGUUCAAGAGGGAUAUGGUCCAAGUACAAUGGCCUACAAUGCACUGGUUUUCAAUUUUAUCUCACUGUGUGAUUUGGACAGGUCCAUCAGUUAUUACAAGGAUAUGGUGGAAAAUAAUUGUCCUCCAAACAGUGACACAUACUGCAAGAUGAUUGGAGCCCUUUUGAAAACGCGCAGGGUGGCUGAUGCACUUCAAAUGUUUGAUGAAAUGUUGGCUCAAGGAGUUCUGCCAGAUACAGGCGUAAUUACAUCAUUCAUCGAGCCGCUUUGCACGUUUGGCCCCCCUCACGCUGCUCUGAUGAUCUACCAAAAGAGUAGGAAGGCUGGUUGUACAAUAUCCCUGAAAGCAUAUAAGCUUCUGCUUGAAAGGCUUGCCAGGUUUGGGAAAAGCGGGACAGUGUUAAAGAUUUGGGAGGAGAUGCAAGAGAGCGGGUAUCCUUCCGAUAAAGAAAUCUACGAGUUUAUUGUAAAUGGGCUUUGCAAUGUGGGUAAGGUUGAUGCUGCUGUUUCCGUGGUGGAGGAAUCACUUAGGAAAGGCUUCUGUCUAGGGAGAGUUGUGUAUAGCAAACUGAACAACAGGCUGCUGGAGAUGGACAAAGUGGAGACUGCUUACAAUUUGUCAAAGAAAAUCAAACAUGGACGCACACUUGCUAAUUCACGCAACUAUUGUCGUGCUAACGGUUGGCACUUGUGA
rnacentral:rRNA from 1 species